UGGCUCAGUUGGUAGAGCAUGGUGUUUCCAACGCCAGGAUUGUGGGUUCGAUUCCCAC
rnacentral:tRNA from 1 species